rnacentral:rRNA from 1 species
CUCGUAGAGGGGGGUAGAAUUCCAGGUGUAGCGGUGAAAUGCGUAGAGAUCUGGAGGAAUACCGGUGGCGAAGGCGGCCCCCUGGACGAGACUGACGCUCAGGUGCGAAAGCGUGGGGAGCAAACAGGAUUAGAUACCCUGGUAGUCCACGCCGUAAACGAUGUCGACUUGGAGGUUGUGCCCUUGAGGCGUGGCUUCCGGAGCUAACGCGUUAAGUCGACCGCCUGGGGAGUACGGCCGCAAGGUUAAAACUCAAAUGAAUUGACGGGGGCCCGCACAAGCGGUGGAGCAUGUGGUUUAAUUCGAUGCAACGCGAAGAACCUUACCUGGUCUUGACAUCCACAGAACUUUCCAGAGAUGGAUUGGUGCCUUCGGGAACUGUGAGACAGGUGCUGCAUGGCUGUCGUCAGCUCGUGUUGUGAAAUGUUGGGUUAAGUCCCGCAACGAGCGCAACCCUUAUCUUUUGUUGCCAGCGGUCCGGCCGGGAACUCAAAGGAGACUGCCAGUGAUAAACUGGAGGAAGGUGGGGAUGACGUCAAGUCAUCACGGCCCUUACGACCAGGGCUACACACGUGCUACAAUGGCGCAUACAAAGAGAAGCGACCUCGCGAGAGCAAGCGGACCUCAUAAAGUGCGUCGUAGUCCGGAUUGGAGUCUGCAACUCGACUCCAUGAAGUCGGAAUCGCUAGUAAUCGUGGAUCAGAAUGCCACGGUGAAUACGUUCCCGGGCCUUGUACACACCGCCCGUCACACCAUGGGAGUGGGUUGCAAAAGAAGUAGGUAGCUUAACCUUCGGGAGGGCGCUUACCACUUUGUGAUUCAUGACUGGGGUGAAGUCGUAACAAGGUAACCA